UUGGAGGGCAAGUCUGGUGCCAGCAGCCGCGGUAAUUCCAGCUCCAAUAGCGUUUAUUAAAGUUGUUGCAGUUAAAAAGCUCGUAGUUGAACUUCGGGGUUCACCCAUUGGUCAGGCUUAAUUGUCUGUACUGGUGAGAUGAAUCUCUACCUUCUGAGGAACUUUCAUGCCAUUUAUUUGGUGUGAUGGGAAAUCAGGACUGUUACUUUGAAAAAAUUAGAGUGUUUAAAGCAGGCUAACGUCUGAAUACAUUAGCAUGGAAUAAUGAAAUAGGACGGAUUGAUUCUAUUUCGUUGGUUUCUAGGAUCACCGUAAUGAUUAAUAGGGAUAGUUGGGGGCAUUAGUAUUCAAUUGUCAGAGGUGAAAUUCUUGGAUUUAUUGAAGACUAACUACUGCGAAAGCAUUCGCCAAGGAUGUUUUCAUUAAUCAAGAACGAAAGUUAGGGGAUCGAAGACGAUCAGAUACCGUCGUAGUCUUAACCAUAAACUAUGCCGACUAGGGAUCGGACGAAGUUAAUUUUAUAAUGACGCGUUCGGCACCUUACGGGAAA
rnacentral:rRNA from 1 species